UAUUUCAUCGUGGCGAAAUCUUGUGUCAGUUGUGAAAGCUUUUAAGUUAUAAUUGCUCAAUCAUAACCAUUGAAAAAUAAAUAAAUUUUGUUUCCCAUUUUACAAAGUAAUUGGACUUUGAGUUAUAUCUAUUUAAAGUGAUGACGACAAUAUCUCAGCGAACGGAAUUUACGACAGAACCUGCUCACCCCCUCACCGACUUUAUUGAAACAGUCCUCUCGUGAUAUAUUGGCCUUAUGUCAGAUCGAUCUACUGUAGCCACCAACUGGAUUUUCUGAAGGAAAAGUAUGGCGGCAAAUUCAGUAGAUGGGCGAAACGUGCAAGUGGAUGUCCGAGAGCUCUUCAACUUAUUAGAGUCAAAUCAGCUGAAGACUGUGGAUGAAAUCACAGAGGAAAUUCAGCAGCAUCUUAGUGCUGUUAAGGAAGCUUGGCUGAUCAACAGUCUGGUGGACUACUUCUACAUAGCCCAGACCGAUCGUGUGAUUGACAUCCUUACCUCUGUCAGGGAGCCACAUGACAAGCAUUUGGUUGAAAAAUUAGCCGAGGGGAUAAAGAACGACAAGCACCAGUUGUUGGCAAUGAAACUUCUUCUCCAUGUUGUGUGCAAACAACCUAUGUGGGUCCAUAAACUGAUCAAACCACCAAUAUUUCCAGCCCUGAUCAAAUGUUUGAAGACAGACACUGACAUUCCGCUUCUGAUGACGGGCGUCAUGGUCAUCACCAUCCUACUUCCUGCCAUCCCGUCUCUCGUUGGAAAAUACCUCCCUGAUAUUUUUGACAUUUUUGGUCAUCUGGUUAGCUUCAAUAUCAGGAAGCCAAGUUCUCCCAAAGAGGGUAAAUAUGGCAAUGCCCCGGACAUUUUCCUUUUACAUCUACAAGUGGCUCUGUAUGGUCUGUUUCAUCGCCUCUAUGGAAUGUUCCCCUACACCUUCCUUACUUACCUCAGGCAUCACUACUCCAAAAAAGAUAAUGCGGCAGCUUACGAAGAAUCCAUUAAACCAAUGCUUGAGAGGGUAAGGCUUCAUCCCCAUCUCAUCAGUGAAACAAGAGAGAAGGAAAUGGAUGGUAAAAGGUGGAAGUCUCUUGAGGACCAUGACGUGAUUGUUCUAUGUGCUAAAAUGUCCAUUGACCAGAUAGAAGGGACUUGGGAGGAGAUGUCUUGUCCAGUCGUCUCUUCCUCCUACAGGUCUAUCAUGUCGGUGGAGGGAGGGCGGAAAACAUCCACCAGUGAUGGGAAGAAAUCAAGAAGCUCAAUCUCCUCACCCCCACAGCUGAGCCCCCCAGUUAUCUCCCAGGACCUGAUCUCCUACUGGAGCCCCUCCCUGUCUGUAGGUCUGUCCACCCCACCCUCCUCCCAGAGAACCACCCCUGCCACCAGUGUAUUAGAGAACAGCCUUGCCAGCCUACAUCAAGCCAUACCAGGAACCAGUGCUAACACCUCCACAACUGCUACUCCAAGAGCCACGCCCCCUAUCACUUCAGAGGACGACAAGAACAAAGGGAGACUGAAAACUUACAGAGAAAUGCAUGUCAAGAAGCUGAGUCUGUCCAAUAAAUCCCUCCCAGGGUCAGCUGAUGGUAAAUCAGGCUCCUCCAGUGUCCCUCCCUCACCCCUGAGGGCAGAGUUUACUACAGAGCCCCCAAGAGGAAUCUUUAAAUCACUCCCUGUGAAGCAGGCCGCCAGAGAGUUGCAGUUUGAUCCGGGAUCAAGAAGGAGAAGUCUGGGCACGCCUGAUCUGUCGUCUGAGAACUUCCAUGACAGCUCCCUGACAGGGGAUGGGUCGUUGAGGGACGUGGAGGGGGAGAAGUCGCAGGUAGACCUCAUGGAGUCAUAUUCUAGAGAUGCCAUAAUCAAGAUUCAGACUGCUGAAGAGGUAGAUACAGAGGAUCAAGAAGUUUCAGACAUCACUAAGAAUCCAGUUCCCCCCCAGUUCCAGACUGCAGAGUCUGUUGCUAAGUUCAUGAGGAGUGUAAACCGUAUCAGAUUCAACAGUAUGUCAAAUGAAGUAGAGUCCUUUCUUGCCCAGGAAAAAUUUUGUAGCAAGAGAAAUUCCAGGUCUUGUCCUAACUUGGAUAAAAUGGCUGUUGCUGAGGAAGAAGCAGAAGAUCAGAUGUCGCGAUCAGUCUCUACCACGUUUAAACAGUCAUCAGUGGUCAACUUGCCAAAGGUCGGUGGCAUUAAAGACUCAGAACGAACUUCUACCCCUAACACCGAGGCUGAUACCACCAAGGCCACCAAUGUGACCAUAAACUUGACAUCCAAUGUAGUCAACAACAUCGCGUGCCAGAAAGUGGAUGCUGGGAGCGGUGAGAGGGAGAGGGACAUAAUCAGCCUGUUAAAGUCAGUCCUGGUCCCAACCAAAGUGGCUGUGUGUCAGAGGUGCAGUGCUCAGUGUUUAACCAAUGAAUCUCCAAACAAGUCAGAACUGCCAAUCCCGGUAUUUGAGACUUUUUCACCCCCAGAGCUACUAGACAGGCACCUACAGAUGGGUGGAGAAAUUCAUGCCAAACAGCUCAGCAAGAUUCCCCUCACAAACCAGGACUCCAUCAACUGGACACACUUUGGAGGUAGAAUGGGAAAUCGCAUGCCACCAGCUGAUGAAGUGAACAUUUUGCGAGGUCAGAUUUUCAUGAUGAAGAACCAGAUUCUCUAUGAACGGAACAAGAGAGAACUUCAUGCCAAGCGGAAUCGACGUCUGCUCCGAAAGAUCACUACAGCAAAUGCAUUAGAGGAACAAACCAAAGCUCAGGCUGAGCAGAUUCAACUGAUGAAUACAGAGAUCCAGAACCUGACGCUGUCAAUGAAGAUUCUACAGGAGGAAAACCGGCGGCUGAGGCAGACCAAUGAAAGCAACGAGUACGAGACGCAGGUCAAACUCAGGUCCUGCCUAAAUGAGCUCGAUGAACUGCGAUCAGCCAAGACAGAGAUGAACACACUCUUAAUUAGACAGAGGGAGGAUCAGGAUGCCCUCAAAGCUAAGCUUCAGAACAAAGAGGCCGAGUUGUUUAAGGAGCAGAGAAUAAACCAACAUCUCAAAGAACAGGUCCAGAUGACACAGAGGCUGAAGGAACAGGUUCUGCAGCUUCACAAGGAGCUUCUAUUGAUGGGAGAACUUCAGGGUAAAUACGAAACCAAGCUCCAUGUCAUCCGCAACAGCCAUCAUUCCAAGCCAGAGCAAGAGAAUAUGAUUGCCACCCUGAGGGCAGAGAACAAAGCACUGAAAGAAAAGAUGAAGACAAAUACAUUGAAUCUGGAUGGAUUUGGGAAGAAACUUCAGGACAUGGAGGAACACUUACAGAAUAAGCAAUUGACUAUUGAAGAGUUACAAAGGCAACUUCAUUAUGCCAAAGUCUGCCAUGAGGAUGAAAUCAAAGCCGUGGAGGACAAGUACAACAGUGUGUGCAGCAUCAACCAGAGGCUGGAGGCUCACGUCAUGUCCCUGUACGGACAGAUCGACCAGAUGGAGCGGCCAAGACAGGCCAAAGGUAAAACAGCACGGUCACGUUAUACAUGUAAUGGGCUUCACUUUACACAGGUUAUGUACAUCAGAGGGGUCCUGUAACACAUAAUGUAAUAAAUCGGAGGGAUUUUGUAACACAAGUAUUGUAGUAUAUCAGAGGGAUCAUUUAAUGAAGUACAUCAGAGGGAUCAUGUAAUACAUUUAAUGUAGUACAUCAAAGGGAUCAUGUAAAACAUAAUGUAUUACAUCAGAGGGAUCAUGUAACACAUAUAAUAUAGUACAUCAGAGGGAUCAUGUAACACAUUUAAUGUAGUACAUGUAACUUAAUAACUCAGAGGGGUCACAUCAUAGGGAUCAUGUAACACAUAUAAUAUAGUACAUCAGAGGGAUCAUGUAACACAUCAAUGUAGUACAUGUAACUUAAUAACUCAGAGAGGUCACAUCAGAGGGAUCAUGUAACACAUAUACUGUAGUACAUCAGAAGGAUCAUGUAAAACAUACAAUGUAGUACAUCAGAGGGAUCAUGUAGUACAAGUAAUGUAGUACAUCAGAGGGAUCAUGUAACACAUAUAAUGUAGUACAUCAGAGGUAUCAUGUAACACAUAUAAUGUAAUACAUGUAACUUAAUAACUCAGAGGAGCCACAUGAAAAAACAUAAUGUAGUACAUCAGAGGGGUAAUGUUACACAUGUAAAGUAAUAAUUCAGUUGGUUCACAUAACACAUGAAAUGUAGUGCAUCAGAGGGGUAAUGUAACACAUGUUAUGUAAUCCUUAAGUGCGGCCACAUAAUGCAUGUAAUGUAGUACAUCAGAAAGGUCACUAAACACAUGAAAUUUGUACACCAGAGGGGUCAUGUAAUACAUAUUAUGCAAUAUUAAAGGAUUCACACAACACAUGUAAUUUUGUAUAUUAUAGGGGGUUAUGAAUCAUAUGUAAUAUAAUCAAUCAGAAGGGUCUCGCAACACAUAAAUGUAACACAUGAAUGUAGUACAUAGGAGGAGUCAUGUCACACAUGUAGUAUAGUACAUCAGAGAGGUCACAUGAUAUAUGUAAUGUAUUAUAGCAGAGGGGUUAUGUAACACAUAUAAUGUAAUACAUCAGAGGGGUCAUGUAAUACACAAUGUAAUACAUCAGAGGGUCAUUUUGUACAUGUAAUGUUUUCUGUCAGAUGGGUAAUGUUAUACAUGUAAUUUAUGGUAUACCAUCAGAGAUGUCAUAGAAUACUGUAAUGUGGUCUGUCGGAGGUACCACAAAAACAUGUGAUGUCAUUUUAUGUAAUGUGUUUAACAGAGUUUUAUGUUGCACAUGUUAUGUGGUGACUUUAAGGAGUCAUAUUGUCCUUUAUUGGUGUUAUCUCACAACUCUUAAAGCAGACCAAAGUUACACAAAAAAAAUCCUAAAAGGUCUUGUUUUAAUAUUAUUUGAUAUAAAGAUGAUUUUAGAUGGAGAUAUUAGAGAUGUGAUGCUAAAUCUAAUUUUGUGUCACAGACAUAAUUGUAUUCCAUGAUCAUGUUACUUUUCAAAAGUUUGAAAUGUAUGUUGAAUUUGAGGCAUUAGUAUGACAACUUUGUUUC